GGUUCCCUAGCCAAGUGGUAAGGCAACUGACUGCAACUUAGUGAUCACCAGUUCGAAUCUGGUGGGAACCUCCA
rnacentral:tRNA from 1 species